rnacentral:rRNA from 1 species
GAUGAACGCUGGCGGCGUGCUUAACACAUGCAAGUCGAACGAUUAAAGCCCCUUCGGGGGUGUAUAGAGUGGCGAACGGGUGAGUAACACGUGGGUAACCUGCCCUGUGCUUUGGGAUAACUCAGGGAAACUUGAGCUAAUACCGAAUACUCCGGUCUGACCGCAUGGUCGGAUCGGGAAAGUUCCGGCGGCACAGGAUGGACCCGCGGCCCAUUAGCUAGUUGGUGAGGUAACGGCCCACCAAGGCGACGAUGGGUAGCCGAGCUGAGAGGCUGAUCGGCCACACUGGGACUGAGACACGGCCCAGACUCCUACGGGAGGCAGCAGUGGGGAAUUUUGCGCAAUGGGCGAAAGCCUGAUCCAGCCAUGCCGCGUGUGUGAAGAAGGCCUUUUGGUUGUAAAGCACUUUAAGCGAGGAGGAGGCUCUUAAGGUUAAUACCCUUGAUGAGUGGACGUUACUCGCAGAAUAAGCACCGGCUAACUCUGUGCCAGCAGCCGCCGUAACAC